GACGAACGCUGGCGGCGUGCCUAAUACAUGCAAGUUGAGCGCUGAAGGUUGGUACUUGUACCAACUGGAUGAGCAGCGAACGGGUGAGUAACGCGUGGGGAAUCUGCCUUUGAGCGGGGGACAACAUUUGGAAACGAAUGCUAAUACCGCAUAAAAACUUUAAACACAAGUUUUAAGUUUGAAAGAUGCAAUUGCAUCACUCAAAGAUGAUCCCGCGUUGUAUUAGCUAGUUGGUGAGGUAAAGGCUCACCAAGGCGAUGAUACAUAGCCGACCUGAGAGGGUGAUCGGCCACAUUGGGACAGAGACACGGCCCAAACUCCUACGGGAGGAAGCAGUAGGGAAUCUUCGGCAAUGGAGGAAAGUCUGACCGAGCAACGCCGCGUGAGUGAAGAAGGUUUUCGGAUCGUAAAACUCUGUUGGUAGAGAAGAACGUUAGUGAGAGUGGAAAGCUCAUCAAGUGACGGUAACUACCCAGAAAGGGACGGCUAACUACGUG
rnacentral:rRNA from 1 species